UUUCCGUAGGUGAACCUGCGGAAGGAUCAUUAUUGUAUAACCGAGGUGCGAGGGCUGUCGCUGACCCGAAAGGUCGUGCACGCCCGAGUGCCCUCACAUCCAUCUCACCCCUAUGUGCAGCACCGCGUGGGUCCCCCUUUGGCUUGUUCGGAGGGGGGCUUACGUUUUCACACAAACUUUGUAUGCAGUGUAGAAUGUAUUUUUUGUUUUUGCGAUCACGCAAUCAAUACAACUUUCAACAACGGAUCUCUUGGCUCUCGCAUUGAUGAAGAACGCAGC
rnacentral:misc_RNA from 1 species